GAUUGUACCCGUGACGUGACCCGUGCACCCUCUUCACCUUAAGUUUUAAUAUCAACCACCAUUUUCCCUUCUUUCUCUUUUUGCAGUAGUCUCUUGCCUCGCCUUCUUCGUCGUCACGGAAUCAGACCUUGAGCCGCCACAUUUUCUUUCCGGUGGCUUCAGCUGCCACGGCCAUCGCCGCGCAUAUAGGAUCCUAAAUUUUCUCUCUUUUUUGAAACUGUCGACGCCGUUACCGCCCUUAAAAUGCCACAUCUCCUUCUCCGAAAACCUGCCGCAAGGCCACCGCGUCGUGGCUGACCGCCUUUGCAAAAACCAACAUAGGCUCGCCGCCGGAUAAUUACACAUCGGCGCUGAACAAGUCCUUAUGUUCUUCAAUGCUUAGCGUUGUGAGUAUACAUAUUUUUUGAAACGUUAAUUUCUGGUAAAUUUAGGUUUUAUGUUUUGUGGAUCUGAUGAAUUUCUUUAGAAACUUAUGAGUAUGAGAUUGGGAAUUGGGGUUGAAUACUCUGAUGCAUUUUUCAUAUAUCUGAAGAUGGGUAGAUUUGAUUUGUGUAGAAAGAGGUGAGUAUUAAGAAUAUGACUCCUAAUCUUAAUGUCAUUGUUUGAUGAUAUUUUGUUUUAUUUAAACUUUGAGUUGUCAAUUAUUGUGAACAGAUGUGCUCCAUAUUUAGUUCUCAAUGACUCCACAUUUUUUGUUUUCAAUUCACAUUUAAUCCCAUUAUUGAAAUCUUUUAUUUGAGAUUGUUAUAUUUUUAUUACAUUAUUAUUGUACAUUUAACGUACUUUUUAAUUUUUAAUAUGUAAGGUAUCGGGUUCUUGAGUUCUUGAUGCAUACAAGCUCUGAAUAAUGAGUCAUCAACAAAAGGAUUUGUGAAAUUAGAGAUCUCUAGUGAAGUCAUUGAAACUUCUUUGGUAAUGAUAAUUUUUUUUAAUUUAUAUUUUUCAAGGUAUGAUUCAUGUUAGUAUUUUAAUAUUUUUUUUAUCAAUUUUAUGAAAUUAGAUGAAUAAUCUAGCUAGAUGAAAACAACACAAACAAUCAUCUGGGUGAUGCAAGAUUUAAAAAAAAAAUUCUGGGUGAUGCCUUUUGUAGAGGCUAAAAUCUACAAUUGAGGAUGACAUCUGCACGUCCGUAUAGAUUGGGCACUAGCAACCUAUCAACGCAAGAAUACGUAAGAGCCCUAGGUUGAGCACCGGGAGGGGGUGUCAACCGUAGAGCCUCCGACGUUCAAGUCAGUAACGGAAUAGCAAAAUAGAAUGACAAAUGAAUUGAAAUAAGAAAGAAAGACAGGUUGGAAUGUUUAGUUAUUCCAAGGUGUCAGUAGCGUGGGAGGGUGGGAACGGUGACGGCGAAUUGUGAUAAUGGAAGGUGGGAGGCAGAGAUAGGCCAAGUUGGCUAUCUCCGAUUUUGAAGAGCGAUCAGCGUGGUGGCAGAAUAGAGAGAAUUCAAGAAGUAGAUAGCAAGUAGGAUUUUCUGUGUCACCCUUUAUACCCUAGUCUGGAUGUUUAUAUAGAGGACAUCCAGCCGCUAAGGUUUCUACAGUCUGGCCUCGUCAUUGCCCUUAUCUCCCAGGUUGUUGCGAUUUGGACGGGAUCAUAAAGAUUUUUCCUCUAACUGUAGUUUGGUGGGAGAUAUCUUUUAGGGUCUGACGGCUGGGAGACGUCUUCUAAGGUUUGACGGCUAGGUCUUGUAAUUCGUCAAUCUAGGUUGACAAUACUCCUUGGGCCGCAUGCGGUAUAUGCAGCUUGGUUAUGGAUUCAAGUCGAUCCAUAGCUUUCCGGGCUAGAUGGGUCAAUCUGUUUGAUUAAUUGGGCCUUUUAGGGUCAUGCUAGAUUGGGGAGUUAGCUGCGCGGGCUAGCUUGAUGGGCCAGGCUGAGUGUGAAUUAUUCAGCCUGGCUCAGACAAGCUGGUCUUGAAGUGAAGUAUUCACCCUGAGUUAGUUCGGAUAUGUCUUAAUAAAUAUAAUUUGACUUAUCGGGUUGGGCGAACAAGUUUUCUUGAGUAAUUGGAUUAUCAUCGUUAUCGACCCAAGUUGGUCUGAAGCUUCUCGAACUGGAUGGACCGGAUUGCUUGACUCAUUGAAUCAUCUUGGAUUGUUAAUUGGUCUCGAGCCAGGUUGACGGAUUUUGCCCACUAUAGUUAGCCCCCCACUCUACAAUUAGAAUUUUUUAAUUGGAGAGUUAAUUUGUUAUAGCUAUUCCGUAUAUGUUUUCAAUGAUAUCAAUGUGCCAAUCCGCCAUAUCAUCCUAACAAUAGGAAUCAUCUGAACUUCUCAUAUGCGAAUCCGAACAAUGCCUUGCAGCCUCCAUUUCGUUUGUCUGUCUCUAGUGGAUGAAUGAUCAAUAAGCCCAGGAAGUCGUAUAUUGAAGAAAUGCUUAAACAAUUGAUGGUGCAAAUGACCAGUAAAAUGACAAGCUUGGAGAAUAUUGUGCCUGCUCUGGAUAAACAAUUGAAGAUGUUUGAAACUCAAGUGGGUUAGAUGGCGAAUCAAGCAGCUCCUAGCCAACAUGGAAAUCAACCCGAAGAGCCAAUGCAAUGCAAUUUUUGUGAGCAAUGAGACUUCAUCUAAAAAUCACUCGUCUACGACUGUCGUUGCAAUCACUAUGAUUUCAAUUAGGAGGAGGUAGGCAAGGAGCACACUUCUCUGUGGGAUGAACCAUACAAUUUUUCCCCAAGGGUUUACAUCCCUAAAGCUCAUUUUCCUUGAUGAUUUGCUAAGGUGAAGGCAGUUGCAAAGCAAAGUCCUACCAUGGUAACGUCCAAGAAUGUGAACGUCGAUAUGCCCCCACUUGAUGCAUUGCAAGACACACCCUAUGGUGAAAGUGCUAAAGGAAGUUGUCUCUCCUAAGAAGAAGUGUGAUAAAGUUUGAGACAACUCCAUUAUCUGAGGAGUGCAGUGUCGUGUUGCCAAAUGAGCUACCAUCCAAGCAGAAGGAUCUAAGUAGCUUCACAAUUGCUUGCGAGGUUGGAGGGGGAAAUUUUUUCUAAAGUUUUAUACUCCCUCCGUCCGCCAAAAGUGGACCACUUUGGCUAGGUACGAGAUUUAAUAAAAUUGGUGAUGAUUUUGAUGUAGUAGAAAAAGGGUCCCACCACUUUAUGAGAUGUGUGGUUGAAAUUGAAUUUGGGGUGGUUUUUUUGUAAAUAAAGGGUGUUUGUAAGGAUAAAAGAUUAAAGUGGAUGAUGGGACCAUUUCUAUAAAAAGGAAAGUGGGCCCCUCUAUGUCUUCAAAUCGAUUGAGAAUUGGAGAUCUCAAGCUGACACCUAUAGCUCUUCAAAAGGUAGAUCGAUCAACGACAUUGUAAGCUUCAUCACACCACCAUCUUUGAGCAAAAUAUUUUGUGAGUAAUGACAUGCAUAUCUUGUUUUUCUUCUUCCCUCCAACUUUAUUUCUAACAUAACACAAUAACCAUUACUUACAAUUUAUAGACACACACACACUCAUGCACACUUGACUCAAAUUCCCAAACCUAUUUUGUGCUAUAUACUAUAUAGCACGAAUGGGACUAAAUUUUUAUCUUUUGUUAUUAUUCAUGAAAAAUGAUCCCAUGAGAAUGAUCAAAUAUGAUGAGAAAUGAGAAUAAAUCUGGAACGUUAUAUUAAAAUCCUAUAAUUAAUUGAUAUUAUUUUUUUCAAAUCUACUAAUAUGCAUCUUGUAAUGCAUGAAUUACCGUUCCAACUUUGGUUCGAAUUCUAGAGGGGCAAAAAUUUCACCAUAUCAAUUGAAUACGUUAUUCGUGCAUUACAGAUAGCUUAUUCAUAAAUUAUAUUAUCUUAGGCUGAUUGGACUUUACACAAGUAUUAAGAAAAAUCAUUGAAAAUGAAAAUAUAUAAGUAAACUUCCUAAAAUGCUCAUAUUUAUUAUUUAAUGAUGAAUUAAAGUUGAAGUGACUUAAAUAUGGAUAUAAGCAAAUGAGUAAAAAAAUAUUGACAUCCAAAAAAGGAAAACAAAUCUAUAUAUGGGACAGAUGAAAUAUUAUUAGACUAAAUAUUCUAAAGUGUUUCAUAUAUAUUGUGGAGUACCAGGAUAGUCCAUGUACAUCGCACAAAUGGUAUACUAGCCCGUAAAAUAAUAAAAUUGUAUUUUAGUUACUCUUAAUACAUUUUUAUUGUGUGUGUGUCAUGGUCGUAGAAAAGCAAAAUUUUACUCUUUUCGUCUCAAUUAAGUUGAUCAACUUUUUUUUGGCACGAAAUUUUUGAAACUAGUGUUUUAAAUGUAUUUGGUGAUUAAUUCAAACAAAAAUGUGUGUUAGGCAAUAAAGUGAAUAAAUGAUUAAAUAUUUUUUUUAUUUAUAUUUAUUUCAUAUAAGAAAAUUUAUCAAUAUAAUUUGGACUAUUCAAAUAGAAAUAUUGAUCAAAUUAGAUGGAACGGAUGGGAUGGAGUAACUGAAUCGAGCCAAAUUAGAUUUGUGAAUAGGAACAAAAGACGUACUUACGUUGGAUAAUCGACAAUCAAGUCUGUUGCAUCCACACAAAAAAG
rnacentral:lncRNA from 1 species